rnacentral:rRNA from 1 species
UCGAGAAUAAUUCGCAAUGGACGAAAGUCUGACGAUGCGACGCCGCGUGAAUGAUGAAGGCCUUCGGGUUGUAAAGUUCUGUCGCCCUGGAGCAAGAUUAGGAGAGUAAUAUCCUUCUAUGAUGAGUGUACAGGGAAAGGAAGCACCGGCUAAUUCCGUGCCAGCAGCUGCGGUAAUACGGAAGGUGCAAGCGUUAGUCGGAGUUAUUGGGCGUAAAGGGUGCGUAGGCGGCUUGUUAAGUUGGAUGUGAAAUUCCGGGGCUCAACCUCGGAGCGGCAUCCAAAACUGGCAAGCUUGAGGGAUGGCGGAGAAAAUGGAAUUCCAUGUGUAGCGGUGAAAUGCGUAGAUAUAUGGAAGAACACCUGUGGCGAAAGCGAUUUUCUAGCCUCCCCCUGACGCUGAGGCACGAAAGCAAGGGGAGCAAACAGG